GCAAGUCAGUAUUUCGACAAUAAAGUUUUAUAAUAAUUUCAAAUGGUUAAAUAAAGAUAUGGAGUGUAAAAUUUAUGUUUGGGAUUGGAAAUUUCACCAAAUGAGAAUAUUCAAGACUGCGAAGAAGUUUUUCCUGGAACCUCAUACAAUUCUAGCCAGCCAAGUGAUAAUUUUGAAAAGUCACCGCGAGAAUUCCUCUUGGAGCAACAAAUCAACGAGCUUCUCAAGGAGAAUACAGCAUUAAAAAAAAAGGUUUCUCACAUGGCUGAAAAAUCAACUACGCUAGAUACUAAAUUAAAAAAGUUUUUGAAUCCAGAUCAGCUGUUGUUUUUAAAAAGUAAUGCUUCUACGAAUUCUAAACCUUGGUCAGAGGAAACCAUCAAAAAAGGUUUAAGAAUUCGAUUACUGAUGGGUACUAAAGCUUAUAAAAGCUUAAGGGAUAUCG